UGGCCUGUAAAAUUAAUGUUGUUUAAGGCCCAUUCCAAACUCUUAUCUUCGAAUAGAGAACAUGCCAGGUGAUUUCGACCAAUUCAAUUUCGUUUAAUAAUGAGCUUAGUCAAUGUGGAACGGUCAUAAUAUCACAGUACACAAGCGAGGUAAGCCAAACAUAAUGCAAUCAAAUCUAAAUUGAAAUCUCGUGCUGAAUGUCGCCGUAUCACGUCUACGCAUCUCACCCGGGCUAGCCAUCCUCCUGCCGUUUUCAAGCACCUCAUUUUAAUAAGCACCGAUAGCAAACACUUCGGAAAUUGCCGGUUGUUUAUAGCAGAUUUAUUUAACACACUACACUGGUAUUGAGAAAGCGGCACUUCACUUAUCGAUUAAUCUCGGUACACGAAGCAUUGUUACGAGUUGGUUCGGCACGAUGCGGAGCAGUCAUUUCUGCGCUCGCGGAGGGUCUACCGAGCGAGCUGCGGCGGAGCCGAGGGCCCGCGCGCACCAGCCCGGAACACCGCACCACUCCAGCAAUUACCCACGUUCUUAGUGCAAAAGUAGAAAGGCUUCACGAUAAGAAACCGCUUGGCCAAAAGGAGUAAACUAAGUAUUUUCGAAGCUUAUUUUUGACAAGCGGAGGGGGGUGGCAAGACAAGGGAGGUAGCUGUAAAUGGGCAUUUUCAUUUUAAUUGUUACUUUUAUUAUGUUUAUCACGCCUAACUUUUAGUUUGAUUGCAAAUGGUUUGGUGAUUGACAUUGAUCUUCAGUUAUGCAACGACCGCUAACCGGCCAAGGUACAUGAUUAAAUGAAAACACCCAGAUAUUUGUGAAUGCACUCGGCAGGCGCUUUGCCGUGUACCUCCGCCAGGUUAGUAAUAGAGGAGGACAGUCGCUGCAGCGAGGUCCGACGCUGGGUGGUGACUAGCUUGCGCACUACGUUUAUAGGCCGUCGCAGGCCGAGCAUGGCCUGGGAUGCGAAAGACUCGGAAACUGUCGCUUCUUCGCUGUCUUCCUGUAUCGAUGGGACCUUAAAACCAAACAUCCUUUUUUCUACGAAAACACCGUUUCGAAGGGACUAAGUGACAAUAACUAAGCUUAACGUUAAGUUUCUGAUACGGACAUUACUCACAUGACAAAGUGUAAACAU